rfam:Oryza punctata chromosome 6, whole genome shotgun sequence.
AAAGAUCGCAGUUUUGAAUUUUUAUAUCCAAUAUUUGAUCGUCUGUCUUAUUUGAAAAUUUUUAUGAUUAGUAUUUUUAUUGUUAUUACAUGAUAAAACAUGAAUAGUACUUUAUGCAUGGUUAUUUUUUAUAAAUUUUUUAAAUAAGACAAACGGUCAAAAGUUGAAUACGAAAACUCACGACUGCACUUAAA